rnacentral:rRNA from 1 species
AACGAACGCUGGCGGCGUGGAUUAGGCAUGCAAGUCGAGCGAGAUUCUCCAGCUUGCUGGAGAUGAGAGCGGCGAACGGGUGAGUAACACCUGGGUAACGUACCUUCAAGUUCGGGAUAGCUCACCGAAAGGUGGAUUAAUACCGGAUGUGAUCGUGCAGGACAUCCUGCACUGUUUAAAAGGGGCUUCGGCUCUUGCUUGAAGAUCGGCCCGGGCCCUAUCAGCUAGUUGGUAAGGUAACGGCUUACCAAGGCUUAGACGGGUAGCUGGUUUGAGAGGAUGAUCAGCCACACUGGGACUGAGACACUGCCCAGACUCCUACGGGAGGCUGCAGUCGAGAAUCAUUCACAAUGCGCGAAAGCGUGAUGAUGCGACGUCGCGUGGAGGAGGAAGGCCUUCGGGUUGUAAACUCCUGUCAGCAGAGAAAAAGUGUAUGCAGGUUAAUACCCUGUGUACUUGAUGGUAUCUGCAGAGGAAGCCACGGCUAACUCUGUGCCAGCCGCCGCCGUAACAC